rnacentral:rRNA from 1 species
GACGAACGCUGGCGGCGUGCUUAACACAUGCAAGUCGUACGGUAAGGCCCUUUCGGGGGUACACGAGUGGCGAACGGGUGAGUAACACGUGAGUAACCUGCCCACAACUUUGGGAUAACGCUAGGAAACUGGUGCUAAUACUGGAUAUGUGCUCCUGCUGCAUGGUGGGGGUUGGAAAGCUCCGGCGGUUGUGGAUGGACUCGCGGCCUAUCAGCUUGUUGGUGGGGUAGUGGCCUACCAAGGCGGCGACGGGUAGCCGGCCUGAGAGGGUGACCGGCCACAUUGGGACUGAGAUACGGCCCAGACGCCUACGGGAGGCAGCAGUGGGGAAUAUUGCACAAUGGGCGCAAGCCUGAUGCAGCAACGCCGCGUGCGGGAUGACGGCCUUCGGGUUGUAAACCGCCUUCAGCAGGGACGAAGCUUUUUGUGACGGUACCUGCAGAAGAAGCACCGGCUAACUACGUG